UACGUAGGGUGCAAGCGUUGUCCGGAAUUAUUGGGCGUAAAGAGCUCGUAGGCGGUCUGUCGCGUCGGCUGUGAAAACCCGGAGCUCAACUCCGGGCCUGCAGUCGAUACGGGCAGACUGGAGUUCGGCAGGGGAGACUGGAAUUCCUGGUGUAGCGGUGAAAUGCGCAGAUAUCAGGGGGAACACCGGUGGCGAAGGCGGGUCUCUGGGCCGAUACUGACGCUGAGGAGCGAAAGCGUGGGGAGCGAACAGG
rnacentral:rRNA from 1 species